rnacentral:tRNA from 1 species
GCAUCGGUGGUUCAGUGGUAGAAUGCCACGCGGGCGGUCCGGGUUCGAUUCCCGGCUGAUGCA